GCCCAUUGAUUUGAGAAGGCCCUUCUGCGACCUUCAGGAACGGGAAAGGUGGCCUGGCACCAACAUGUUCCUUCCGGGCGUGGAGGCCAGGGUGCUGCUGCAUCACCGGGCUCACAAACUCAGCCGGAGCUGCGUGAGGCCUGGUCCUCUGAAGUGCACUUCUUCAAGUUACUGGGAACUUGGUUUGUCCCCAAACCACCCCCGACCCCGCCCGCCUCCGCAGCUCAGGAAAGUUCAGCGCUUCCUCCUCCUCCUCACCUGCUCCCCACCCUGCCUCUCUUUCCUCUGGGGAGCACCUGCUGCCCAGCUCCCUGCCCCUUCCUGCCAUGCCCGGGCUCCCUCCUUCCCCGCUUCAUUCUCCGCGUCACAUAUUUUGUCUUCUUCAGCAUCAGUUCUGUAUGUUUCUGUUCCCAGGCAGUUUUGAUCCACGCGUGGUUUUAUUUCGUUGCCAUCAUUCCAUUCUCCAGUUCCCGCUGUCUUUCUCAUCAGCCUGGCUUGCCCAUGGUGGGCAUGCGACAGUUGCUAAAAAUACCCUUCGGGCGGGCGGCUGGAGAAAUCAUUUUCAUGGGGCACCCUCCCUCCCAGCCUUAUGAGAUGCGGUUGUGUUUGAUUCGUCCUGCCGCAAUUUUCCAAGGCCCCGGUUGCUGGGCUUCCUCUUCCUCAUCCUCAGGCCUGUUUCCCGACCCACUGAAUGGAUGAAGUGUCAGACAAAACGCCUGCUGUAUACCCAGUGUGAACAGGGCCGUGGUCCAGGGCAGGAUGCUGCCUUCUGAAUGCAGGGCUCACCUCCAGCUCAACUGUCCCCACUCCCGGUGGGUUUUGAAGACUGAUGAGUGGGAAGAGAAGGCAGUGUCAGUGCAUAGGAGGCAGACCCCGUCUUCUGGUGGGGAAAAAAGCAUUUUUCUAUUUUGGGACGUGAGAGAGGAGAUGAA
rnacentral:lncRNA from 10 species